rnacentral:rRNA from 1 species
GAUAAUACUUUAUUAUACUUGAAAAGUAAUCACUUUAGCGUAAAUCGGCGAGAUAGAUGCCCUAUUAUUCGGGAUACGCAUUGCUAAGAUGAUAUAAAAUUAUCGUCAAAGAGAACUAAAUGCUGCAAGGUAAUAGUAUCUUUAAUACUAUCUUAAGCGCAUCCAUAAUGCAAUGGAGAACGUGUUACAAUAGAAACAUAUAAGGAAACUAAAAACAGAAAUAAACUGAGAUCCCUGAGCGUGACGAUUAAGCGUCUAGCACUCUAGACACUUAAUCAGUGCUUCUAUUAUUAGAAACAUUUUCAUAGGGAUGCAAUGAUGGAACAGGUCACGGCCUCGUGCGCUAACAUGUAUGAGCUAUGAAGAGAUGAAUAGGGAGAAAUAGGUAAUAUCCUGUAUACAUACGGAAGAGCAUCUAAGGCUAAAUAUUGCUGGCUCACAGAUUGUCAAGAAGUAGCCUGAAUGGAAAGUGAAAGCACCCGGCAAGAUCAGUGGAAUAGAAUUUGGAACUGAGUAGCACAAAAGUAAAGGGCGGUCCGCUGUAACUUUUUAUGUUGUGGUAUCAUUCCUACCUUAUGGUAUAAGGUUAGGAACUAUAUCGUAUAUCAGGUCAGGCCUAUAACUAAGUGCUAAAGAAGCCGCGUCUUAACUUGGUAGCAAGUUGCAAAAUAUAGGGUUAAAACCUAUAUGUGUUGGUCAUCUGCAGGUGUCAGAUGUAAGAGAUAGAAUAAAGAAGACUACACCGACUAAUCCUAAACCAGUUAGAUUGAACCUAGUUGGCGUAAAAUUAAUAAAAUUAAAAUACAGAGUUUCCUUAAAAUUAUUUAUCUAUGGCAAUGUGCAUUUAGUCCCAGAAAUAGAAUACUGCUCUAACUAUAACUUAUUUUUAUUUAUUACUUUCAUGUACACUACGAAUACUGGAGAAUGUGUUGAUGGGGAAACACGGCUGCUGCUAACGUUUAUCGUUAAUAACGGCAUCAUAAAAGCACUAGCUAAGUUCUUUAAGUUAGCAUUGACUGGCAUAAAUCUAGUAAGGAAGAGAUAGCUAGGAUCAUGCUUUAUAAGCACAAGUAUUAAAAUUGUAAUCGUAAUAGAUUAAGCAUAUAGUUGUGGCGAAUGGAAGCUUUGUCACUGCCCUUAAUGGGUUGAUUAAUUAGAGAGUCUGUAACAUUGUUGAAAAUUUCUGUAGGACAUUUCAGUUAUUAGAACUGCUAAUACUAAUAUAAGUAAAGAUAAAGCACUUAAACCCGCUUAGCUGACAAGUAAAAGCUUCUGACAAAUGCCAAGCACGGCAAAUAAGUGCCUCGUCAAGUAAGGCUACAAAGCUAAGUCAAUAUGUAAAAGGCUAAUAUGUUAUAGUCGAGUGAUGUGGAAGGAAUAAGAAAAGUCUAGGGAAUCAGGUCAUCGCUGCCUAACUUAAGUGUCUUAAGGCUUGGGUAAAUUAAACAAUAAAACCUAAAGAGUAAUGACGAUCUACUUAAAUGCAGAAAUUCUUUAUCUGCUCCUUGCAGGAAGAUUCUCUAAGGGUUAGAUUACUUUGAGUUGUAUUGAAAUGGAUACAAGUAGGAAGACACAUAAGACUAAGGCUCUUACAAUAAAUAGAGAGAAUAGCGUUCCUAUUUUGAAAAUACAUUGAGGAUGCAGGAAAAUUUAAUAUCAGAAUAUAAAUAGCAAACACUAGAGAUUAGCAUACUAAAGCUGUUUAAUGCAAACAGCAUUAUACUAACACAAAGGCAGUAUAAGGUAUGAUGCGUAUCUCGUACUGAAAAGAUAAUUGAUUAGUUAGCCAACACUGCGAAGUUUUUGAUCGAAGCAGCAAUGAUGUCUGAAGCGUUCUAAUGUGAUUUAUGUAGCUACCUGCCUUGUGAGGGAAUGUACCAUUCUAUAUGCAUGGUUUAAUAAUCACCAGGCCGUUGCUAUCCAAUACUCAUUUACAUUCAAUGCGCUAUUAAUUUGAAGCGUGGCUGCUGUCAGCCAAACGCCCGUAACCUUUAUUACAGCUCAACAAUGCAGAUAGAGUUUUGAUCUGUCAAAUUAAGGGGGGAUAGUGACUCGUGGGCGCUGCGCUGACAGGCAUGGCCUGUGAAACACCACGCUUUAAUAUUUGAUGUCUCCACUGUAUCCCAUGCCCAGAUACGCAGAGUGUCUUGUGGGUGGUUUCAGUGCACUGUCCAAAAAUAGUAACGGAUAGAAUAAUAAAGAUUAGCUCAUAACGUUCAGGAAUGCUGAGGUUAUUGAAAAAGGAAUAAGCUGACUUAAGUGCGAGAGUGAUGGCUUAAUCAGGUGUGAAAAUAGGUCUUAGUACUUUCUGUUUGUCCUGAAAAUAAUAGUCAUCGCUUCAUUCCAUACAAGCGACUCGGAGGUUCGUAGGACAAGAUCGCCAAGACGUCAUAUUAGCGGUAGUGUUUGGCACCUCAUGCCUUUUCACCAGAUCUUGUUGUUGCAGUCAGUCCCCAGGAUAUGGAUAUUCGCCAUUUACAGUUUUACAGGCGCUGUGUUUUUAACUUCGUAAUAGAUUCAAACUAGAUCUGACAGGGAGUUGGAAGGAUGAGGUGGUGUGCUCCUAGUACAAGCAAACCAAAGUGAAUGUACCGAUAUUCUGCAGGUUAUCACUGACAAUAGCAUUACCCAACACUUAAGUUUCUUAAUAGAUAAGCCCUAAAAUCAUAAGUGUGAAACUGGUCUCGAGAUAAGAUCUCUAGGUUUUACAAGCUCCCGGACAAUAUUUAAGAUGCAGAGUAAGAUAGGCUAUGUUUGUAAGAGCAGCUAGCCUGUUCGCUAACAAGCAUUAAAGAUCCCUGCGAGCCUCAACAUC